CAUGCAAGUCGUACGAGAAAUCCUGGGCAACCGGGAGAGUAAAGUGGCGUACGGGUGAGUAACGCGUGGGUAACCUACCCUUGAAUUGGGGAUAACCUCGCGAAAGCGGGGCUAAUACCGAAUAAUGUGUCGAUUCCCACGGGAGUUGACAUCAAAGGUGGUCUCUGCAUGCAAGCUACCGUUCAAGGAUGGACCUGCGCCCCAUUAGCUAGUUGGUAGGGUAAUGGCCUACCAAGGCGACGAUGGGUAGCCGGCCUGAGAGGGUGACCGGCCACACUGGGACUGAGAUACGGCCCAGACUCCUACGGGAGGCAGCAGUGAGGAAUAUUGCGCAAUGGGCGAAAGCUUGACGCAGCAACGCCGCGUGGAUGAUGAAGCUCUAAGGAGUGUAAAGUCCUGUUAGAAGGGAAGAACAACUUUCAGUCGAAUAGAAUGAAGGUUUGACG
rnacentral:rRNA from 1 species